AUGAGUGUUUGAAAUGUUGCCCUUGAUAAUUCUCCAGUGAAAAGUGGAUUUAGUGAGCUGUUACUGAAUUACAGCAACUCUAAGCACUUUCACUCGUUGGUCCCUCCAACCAGAAACCAGGAGGAUCAUGGGUUGGGGCUGCUUUUCUGUUGAUGGGAUGUUUUUUUAUUAUUAUUAAGCCCAGCUUUUAGCUAAUUGUAUUAUUUCAAUAUAUUAUUUAUUUAUAUAUUUAGUUGAUGGUACAGUACAUUAUAAAAAGCUAAUUUUUGAUUCCUAAUUUGAAUGUUUUAUAAUUGUAAAAUGUUCUAUAAAUAUUUCUUCUUUUUAGGAUCAUUUUUUCUCCAGUGCUUCCUCAGUUGCAUCAUCUCCCUUUGGGCUCCUGUUCAGCCGCUGCAGCUCUGGAUGGGGACCUGUAUCCCCUCCAUGCUGUGGUGAGGCCUGGUCUCGUGCGUUUUGGGUCCUCCACCAACACUUCCUGACAGAAUGACCUGACCACCUUGCACCCAGCAGGAGAAAUUUUGCACACCAUACCAUGCCACAUAAGAUGGGUUUCUCUGCUGCCAUAUUCAUGUCAUGCCAUUCCACGUCCAAUGAAUCCAUUCCUGAGGGAGAUUAUCAAGGCCAUCCUUCAAGCUCCCUGUUCCUGAGAAGGGUUGCCGAGUCAUGGUCUUCGCUCACCCCCCUUGACUGUUUCCUUUUCCAGACGAGGGGCCGCUCCCCUAUGUUUCCUGGAGAGUCAUCAGGACCACUCCUCUUGUCGUCUGUUCUUGAGGAGGGGUUCUGAUACCCUUAACAUCCGUCUGGCUGCAGGACCCCUAAGUCUGUUUUGGACUUGUUUUUCUUUUGUUCCUUCAUGUCCCCUUCUCCCAGGCAUUUUUGUUUUUGGGCAUCUGGGAUCUGCCCUUUUGGGGAGGGGUACUGUCAAGAUUUUGUGCUUUGGUUUUAUCAGUUAUUAUGAUUUUUGGUCAUGUUCUGUUUUGAUUUGUCCCUCUGUCAGAGCAGUUUCAUUAUCCUGUCUUCAUUUCUGUCAGUCUUUUUAAGAGUCUGGUUUUCAGAUAAUCUUUGUCCGGUCAUCUGUUCUGUUCUGCUGCCUUUUCUGUUUGUCCACGGUUUUUGUCAUGUUUUAGUUCAUUUACUAAAUGUUGAGUUUCUGUCAGCAAACCUGAUCUCCUAACACUUUCUGACUGAGCGUCAAGCAGGAAAGUACUGGGUCUUAUUUUCAGAGUCUUUGGACUGUGGACUUGAAUUCCAGUUUCAGGGUGGACCACAAGGACUCUGAGCGGUCUCUAGAUUGAACAGACAAAAUAAUACAUGAUUCCACAAUAAAAGCAGGAUCUCAUCAA